UACACAUUUGGUUAUUAGUUUCUAGCAGUAAUCCUCAACAUAAGGCCAUAGGAUCAUUGGAGAACAAACAAGUAAGUCUCAUGACUUGCCAAGAAGAUAAACUACAGCUGUAUCUUACCUUUAUGCAGUUACCCAGGCACUGGCAGUGAAGAUGGAGUUAAAUAGGUAACCGGUCUCAAAGAGGGAAAGGGAAAAAACCAGGAAUAGCUUCUGCUGAAUAUUUUAGCUGAUGUUAUCUCAUUCAUGUGGCAGACCAGUAACAGGAAAAUAAAUGACUCUCAUCCUUUUGCUUUGUUCUCAAUGAAGAAGGAGAGCAUUUGAACAGGGAAAUGAAUUCGGCCAACAACCAAUGGGCUUGGAGGAUGCCUCCAGCUUCAAGUGAGACCUACAGCCUGGCCAACACCCUGAGAUCAGCCUGAUAAAGUCCUGAGCAGAAAAUCCAGCCAUACCUGGAGUUUUGAUGAAAAAACAGUGAGAUAAUAAAUUUGUGCUGUUUUAUGCCAC
rnacentral:lncRNA from 1 species